rnacentral:misc_RNA from 1 species
GAUGAAGAACGUAGCGAAAUGCUAUACUUGGUGUGAAUUGCAGAAUCCCGUGAACCAUCGAGUCUUUGAACGCAAGUUGCGCCCGAAGCCAUUAGGCCGAGGGCACGCCUGCCUGGGCGUCACACGUCGUUGCCCCCCCAUCUAAUCCUUCGGGAUUGCGGGGGGCGGAUGAUGGCCUCCCGUGCGCCUCGUCGCGCGGUUGGCAUAAAUGCCAAGUCCUCGGCGACGCACGCCACGACAAUCGGUGGUUGCGAAACCUCGGUUGCCCGUCGUGUGCGGUCGUCGCGCAUCGAGGGCUCGAAAAAAUUGCCGGGCUCCGGCUCGACUUUCAACGCGACCCCAGGUCAGGCGGGGUUACCCGCUGAAUUUAAGCAUAUCAAUAAGCGGAGGA